UACAGAGGGUGCAAGCGUUGUUCGGAAUUAUUGGGCGUAAAGGGCGCGUAGGCGGUGCGGUAAGUCUGUAGUGAAAUCUCUGGGCUCAACUCAGAGUCUGCUAUAGAAACUGCCGUGCUGGAGUGUGGGAGAGGUGAGUGGAAUUCCCGGUGUAGCGGUGAAAUGCGUAGAUAGUCGGGAGGAACACCAAUGGCGAAGGCAGCUUGCUGGGACGGUACUGACGCUGAGGCGCGAAAGCGUGGGGGAGCAAACAGG
rnacentral:rRNA from 1 species